UACGGAGGGUGCAAGCGUUAUCCGGAUUCACUGGGUUUAAAGGGUGCGUAGGUGGGUUGGUAAGUCCGUGGUGAAAUCCCCCAAGCUUAACUUGGGAACUGCCGUGGAUACUAUCAAUCUUGAAUAUCGUUGAGGUAAGCGGAAUAUGUCAUGUAGCGGUGAAAUGCUUAGAUAUGACAUAGAACACCGAUAGCGGAGGCAGCCUUACUAAGCGAUCAUUGACACUGAGGCACGAAAGCGUGGGAGCAAACAGG
rnacentral:rRNA from 1 species